rnacentral:rRNA from 1 species
UGGGGAAUUUUGGACAAUGGGCGCAAGCCUGAUCCAGCAAUGCCGCGUGUGUGAUGAAGGCCUUCGGGUUGUAAAGCACUUUUGUCAGGAACGAAAAGGUCCGUGCUAAUACCAUGGGCCGAUGACGGUACCUGAAGAAUAAGCACCGGCUAACUACGUGCCAGCAGCCGCGGUAAUACGUAGGGUGCAAGCGUUAAUCGGAAUUACUGGGCGUAAAGAGUGCGCAGGCGGUUUUGCAAGACCGAUGUGAAAUCCCCGGGCUUAACCUGGGAACUGCAUUGGUGACUGCAAGGCUAGAGUGUGUCAGAGGGAGGUGGAAUUCCGCGUGUAGCAGUGAAAUGCGUAGAUAUGCGGAGGAACACCGAUGGCGAAGGCAGCCUCCUGGGAUAACACUGACGCUCAUGCACGAAAGCGUGGGGAGCAAACAG